rnacentral:rRNA from 1 species
AACGUAGGAGGCGAGCGUUAUCCGGAGGGACUGGGCGUAAAGCGCGUGUAGGCGGUCAGGCAAGCUGGGUGUGAAAGCGCCAGGCUCAACCUGGCGAGGCCAUCCAGGACUGCGUGGCUAGAGGCCGGUAGAGGAGGGCGGAAUUCCGGGUGUAGCGGUGAAAUGUGUAGAGAUCCGGAGGAACACCAGUGGUGCAGACGGCGCUCUGGGCCGGACCUGACGCUGAGACGCGAAAGCGUGGGGAGCGAACGGG